rnacentral:rRNA from 1 species
UACGGGGGGGGCAAGCGUUGUUCGGAAUUACUGGGCGUAAAGGGCUCGUAGGCGGCCAACUAAGUCAGACGUGAAAUCCCUCGGCUUAACCGGGGAACUGCAUCUGAUACUGGAUGGCUUGAGAUUGGGAGAGGGAUGCGGAAUUCCAGGUGUAGCGGUGAAAUGCGUAGAUAUCUGGAGGAACACCGGUGGCGAAGGCGGCGUCCUGGACCAACACUGACACUGAGGAGCGAAAGC